AACGAACGCUGGCGGCAGGCCUAACACAUGCAAGUCGAGCGCCCCGCAAGGGGAGCGGCGGACGGGUGAGUAACGCGUGGGAAUAUGCCCUUUGCUACGGAAUAGUCUCGGGAAACUGGGGGUAAUACCGUAUACGCCCUUUGGGGGAAAGAUUUAUCGGCGAAGGAUUAGCCCGCGUUGGAUUAGGUAGUUGGUGGGGUAAUGGCCUACCAAGCCGACGAUCCAUAGCUGGUUUGAGAGGAUGAUCAGCCACACUGGGACUGAGACACGGCCCAGACUCCUACGGGAGGCAGCAGUGGGGAAUCUUAGACAAUGGGGGCAACCCUGAUCUAGCCAUGCCGCGUGAGUGAUGAAGGCCUUAGGGUUGUAAAGCUCUUUCAGCUGGGAAGAUAAUGACGGUACCAGCAGAAGAAGCCCCGACUAACUCCGUG
rnacentral:rRNA from 1 species